rnacentral:rRNA from 1 species
CCUACGGGUGGCAGCAGUGGGGAAUAUUGCGCAAUGGGCGAAAGCCUGACGCAGCGACGCCGCGUGAGGGAUGAAGGUCCUCGGAUCGUAAACCUCUGUCAGCAGGGAAGAACGGUCACUGUGCUAAUCAGCAGUGAAUUGACGGUACCUGCAAAGGAAGCAUCGGCUAACUCCGUGCCAGCAGCCGCGGUAAUACGGAGGGUGCGAGCGUUAAUCGGAUUUACUGGGCGUAAAGCGCGCGUAGGCGGUAUGUCAAGUCAAGGGUGAAAUCCCCGGGCUCAACGUGGGAACUGCCUUUGAGACUGGCAGACUGGAGUGUGUGAGAGGAUAGUGGAAUUCGAGGUGUAGGAGUGAAAUGCGUAGAUAUCUGGAGGAACAUCGGUGGCGAAGGCGACUAUCUGACACGUAACUGACACUGAGGAGCGAAAGCGUGGGUAGCAAACAGGAUUAGAUACCCGAGUAGUC